rnacentral:rRNA from 1 species
UACGUAGGGGGCUAGCGUUGUCCGGAAUCAUUGGGCGUAAAGCGCGUGUAGGCGGUCCGGUAAGUCCGCUGUGAAAGUCGGGGGCUCAACCCUCGGAUGCCGGUGGAUACUGUCGGGCUUGAGUACGGAAGAGGCGAGUGGAAUUCCUGGUGUAGCGGUGAAAUGCGUAGAUAUCUGGAGGAACACCGGUGGCGAAGGCGGCAUCCUGGACCGGCAUUGACGCUGAGGCGCGAAAGCCAGGGGAGCAAACGGG